UUUAUUACCCAUCAGCUCAGCCGUUGAUAUCCUUUGCAGCUCUAUAGCAUCUCUCUCCUUCCUUCUACCCAUUAAUUCCUGCCAAAAAUCCAAUCUUUGCGGUGUCCCAAAUCUCGUCCUUUUAAGUUCUAUCAAACCCAGUUGUUACUUUCCAGAGAAAAUUAUUUCUACUCUGUAAAGCAUAAAGUUUUUCUCUUUCACUGUCUUUUUUCUUAUGAUUUGAUCAUAACCGGGGAGUUGGUUUUCUAUCUUUUUGGUUCGUUUUAGAGCAAGUAACAAUGGCGGGUAUAGCUAUAGUAUUAGAUCUGUUGAGGAAAAAUCCUAACUUUUAUUCAUGCCAGUUCUCUGCCUCUGCGGCCGUCUCGGCUGCCGCCGCCUCCGUCGCAGCUGCAGGGACACCCUUUGCUUCUAGAUUCUUUUUUCGGUUUUUUCUCAUUGUGAUGCUGGUGCAGUAUUGUCUGAUGAUUAUAUUUCUAAUAUACGAAAAGCAUCUGGAGAUAUUUUCCAGCAUGAUUCUCUGAAAUACACCACCAAGGAGUACCAUUUUGAGUUAAAACCUCUCUUAUCAGCUUUUGAAUGGAAGCAACUAGCUAUGACAUCCUUGAGGUCAUUUUUGUUGUUUUAUUUGCCUCUUCUGGAGCCUGCUUCAAAUACAGAAGAGGAUGAUGAUGACUUUCUGCAGGAUGCUCCAGACGAGCGCCAUGUAGAUUUGGUCGUUCCCUUUAAAAAGUCAGUGAAGCAAAUUGUUCGUGAGACUACUGUUGUUACCACAAGAAGGAUUCUGGAAAGGCUUGCUGUGCAUUAUGUUUCACAGCGGUUGGCUUGGAAACUUCUAAAAGAUGUUCCUAAAUCAGCUGUGCGCAAAGCUGAACGAGGAAUGCCUACUACUUUCUACCUGUUCAGAGUUAGCAGGACAACUUUUAGAGGACACUUUUUAGGAGUUGCUGCAUCAUGGAUUGUACAAGUUGGUAUUGAGAUUUACCGAUUCUUUAAUCGCCUAGCCAAGUCUGAAUCUGAAGAAGAAAACUGUAAGGUUGACAAAUCAGAACAAGUUAUAAUUCUCGGGAAGAAGGUUACUGGUGUUACUCUCAGGUGUAGUGCAUCACUAGCUUUUGCUUCCAUUGGGGCAGGGAUUGGUGCAACUCUAAUUCGUCCUUCAACAGGCCAGUGGAUUGGCUGUGCUGUUGGGGAUUUGGCUGGGCCAAUUGUCGUUUCACUGUGCCUUGAAAAAGUUUUACAUACCGAACUCUAGAGCAGUGGCAAUAGAUCAUUUGAUGUACUUGCACCUGCUUCUUACUUGAUUGGCUUAUAACAAUUGUUUUUUGAGCAUUUGAUGGUAUAAUUCUGCAUGAUUAAUAUCGAUAUUUUGGAAGCCGUCACUUGGAAAGAAAAGAACUAUGUAAGAAGCUAGAUAACCCCAGGUUUUGUGGCAGAACAUUUUUCUAAGCUGUUGGUUAGAAUUCACCCACAAGGCCAUUGUUAGUUACUUUCUCCUCGUAACAAAUUAGUAGAAAUUUAUUACGAGGA
rnacentral:misc_RNA from 1 species